GCUGGUGCCAUGGGUCAGUGCAUCUGGCUGUAAACCAGAAGGUUGGUGGUUCGAGCCCACCUGCA